rnacentral:rRNA from 1 species
UACGUAGGGGGCAAGCGUUGUCCGGAUUUAUUGGGCGUAAAGAGCGUGUAGGCGGCCAGACAGGUCCGUUGUGAAAACUCGAGGCUCAACCUCGAGAUGUCGGCGGAAACCGUCUGGCUAGAGUCCGGAAGAGGAGAGUGGAAUUCCUGGUGUAGCGGUGAAAUGCGCAGAUAUCAGGAAGAACACCUAUGGCGAAGGCAGCUCUCUGGGACGGUACUGACGCUGAGACGCGAAAGCGUGGGGAGCGAACAGG